UACAGAGACUGCAAGCGUUAUUCGGAUUCACUGGGCGUAAAGGGUGCGCAGGCGGUUGGGUGUGUCAGAUGUGAAAUCCCGAGGCUUAACCUCGGAACUGCGUCUGAAACUACUCGACUAGAGUACUGGAGAGGGUAACGGAAUUCACGGUGUAGCAGUGAAAUGCGUAGAUAUCGUGAGGAACACCAGAGGCGAAGGCGGUUACCUGGACAGUUACUGACGCUCAGGCAUGAAAGCAUGGGGAGCAAAAGGG
rnacentral:rRNA from 1 species